GCUGGCGGCGUGCUUAACACAUGCAAGUCGAACGAAGAGCGAUGGAAGCUUGCUUCUAUCAAUCUUAGUGGCGAACGGGUGAGUAACGCGUAAUCAACCUGCCCUUCAGAGGGGGACAACAGUUGGAAACGACUGCUAAUACCGCAUACGAUCUAACCUCGGCAUCGAGGAAAGAUGAAAGGUGGCCUCUAUUUAUAAGCUAUCACUGAAGGAGGGGAUUGCGUCUGAUUAGCUAGUUGGAGGGGUAACGGCCCACCAAGGCGAUGAUCAGUAGCCGGUCUGAGAGGAUGAACGGCCACAUUGGGACUGAGACACGGCCCAGACUCCUACGGGAGGCAGCAGUGGGGAAUCUUCCGCAAUGGACGAAAGUCUGACGGAGCAACGCCGCGUGAGUGAUGACGGCCUUCGGUUGUAAAGCUCUGUUAAUCGGGACGAAAGGCCUUCUUGCGAACAGUUAGAAGGAUUGACGGUACCGGAAUAGAAAGCCACGGCUAACUACGUGCCAGCAGCCGCGGUAAU
rnacentral:rRNA from 1 species